rnacentral:rRNA from 1 species
GCGAACGCUGGCGGCAGGCUUAACACAUGCAAGUCGAGCGGGCACUUCGGUGUCAGCGGCGGACGGGUGAGUAACGCGUGGGAACGUGCCCUCUGGUUCGGAAUAACUCAGGGAAACUUGAGCUAAUACCGGAUACGCCCUUUUGGGGAAAGGCUUGCUGCCGGAGGAUCGGCCCGCGUCUGAUUAGCUAGUUGGUGAGGUAACGGCUCACCAAGGCGACGAUCAGUAGCUGGUCUGAGAGGAUGAUCAGCCACACUGGGACUGAGACACGGCCCAGACUCCUACGGGAGGCAGCAGUGGGGAAUAUUGGACAAUGGGCGCAAGCCUGAUCCAGCCAUGCCGCGUGAGUGAUGAAGGCCUUAGGGUUGUAAAGCUCUUUUAUCCGGGACGAUAAUGACGGUACCGGAGGAAUAAGCCCCGGCUAACUUCGU